AUCGCAUGAUGAGGACAGGCAGCCAUGUGCUCCUGCAGUCGUUCCCAUGCUUCUGGAACGGACUCGUCCCUUGUCUGCUGGAAACUGGAAAUUCAUCCAUGAAGGG
rnacentral:snoRNA from 1 species